rnacentral:rRNA from 1 species
GGCAGGCUUAACACAUGCAAGUCGAGGGGCAUCGGGAGGAAAGCUUGCUUUCCUUGCCGGCGACCGGCGCACGGGUGAGUAACACGUAUGCAACCUGCCCUCUUCAGGGGGACAACCUUCCGAAAGGGAGGCUAAUCCCGCGUAUAUCGGUUUCGGGCAUCCGAGAUCGAGGAAAGAUUCAUCGGAAGAGGAUGGGCAUGCGGCGCAUUAGCUAGACGGCGGGGUAACGGCCCACCGUGGCGACGAUGCGUAGGGGUUCUGAGAGGAAGGUCCCCCACACUGGUACUGAGACACGGACCAGACUCCUACGGGAGGCAGCAGUGAGGAAUAUUGGUCAAUGGGAGAGAUCCUGAACCAGCCAAGCCGCGUGAGGGAAGACGGCCCUAUGGGUUGUAAACCUCUUUUGUCGGAGAACAAAACCCGGGACGUGUCCCGGACUGCGUGUAUCCGAAGAAAAAGCAUCGGCUAACUCCGUGCCAGCAGCCGCGGUAAUACGGAGGAUGCGAGCGUUAUCCGGAUUUAUUGGGUUUAAAGGGUGCGUAGGCGGUCCGUUAAGUCAGCGGUAAAAUUGCGGGGCUCAACCCCGUCGAGCCGCUGAAACUGGCAGACUUGAGUUGGCGAGAAGUACGCGGAAUGCGCGGUGUAGCGGUGAAAUGCAUAGAUAUCGCGCAGAACUCCGAUUGCGAAGGCAGCGUACCGGCGCCAGACUGACGCUGAGGCACGAAAGCGUGGGGAUCGAACAGGAUUAGAUACCCUGGUAGUCCACGCAGUAAACGAUGAAUGCUGGGUGUCCGGGUCGAAUGAGACCUGGGCGGCGAAGCGAAAGCGAUAAGCAUUCCACCUGGGGAGUACGCCGGCAACGGUGAAACUCAAAGGAAUUGACGGGGGCCCGCACAAGCGGAGGAACAUGUGGUUUAAUUCGAUGAUACGCGAGGAACCUUACCCGGGCUCAAACGGGAGUGGAAUGGACCAGAGACAGUUCAGCCUACGGGCCGCUUCCGAGGUGCUGCAUGGUUGUCGUCAGCUCGUGCCGUGAGGUGUCGGCUUAAGUGCCAUAACGAGCGCAACCCCCGCCGGCAGUUGCUAACGGGCAAUGCCGAGGACUCUGCCGGGACUGCCGCCGCAAGGCGUGAGGAAGGCGGGGAUGACGUCAAAUCAGCACGGCCCUUACGUCCGGGGCGACACACGUGUUACAAUGGGCGGUACAGCGGGAAGCCAGGCGGCGACGCCGAGCGGAACCCGAAAGCCGUUCUCAGUUCGGAUCGGAGUCUGCAACCCGACUCCGUGAAGCUGGAUUCGCUAGUAAUCGCGCAUCAGCCAUGGCGCGGUGAAUACGUUCCCGGGCCUUGUACACACCGCCCGUCAAGCCAUGGGAGCCGGGGGUGCUUGAAGU